UACGUAGGGGGCAAGCGUUGUCCGGAAUCAUUGGGCGUAAAGCGCGUGUAGGCGGCCCGAUAAGUCCGCUGUGAAAGUCCAGGGCUCAACCCUGGAAUGCCGGUGGAUACUGUCGGGCUCGAGUCCGGAAGAGGAGAGUGGAAUUCCUAGUGUAGCGGUGGAAUGCGCAGAUAUCAGGAGGAACACCAAUAGCGAAGGCAGCUCGCUGGGACGUUACUGACACUGAGGCGCGAAAGCGUGGGGAGCGAACAGG
rnacentral:rRNA from 1 species